rnacentral:rRNA from 1 species
UAAGUUCCGACCCGCACGAAAGGCGUAACGAUUUGGGCACUGUCUCAACGAGAGACUCGGUGAAAUCAUAGUACCUGUGAAGAUGCAGGUUACCCGCGACAGGACGGAAAGACCCCGUGGAGCUUUACUGUAGCCUGAUAUUGAAAUUCGGCACAGCUUGUACAGGAUAGGUAGGAGCCUUUGAAACGUGAGCGCUAGCUUACGUGGAGGCGUUGGUGGGAUACUACCCUAGCUGUGUUGGCUUUCUAACCCGCACCACUUAUCGUGGUGGGAGACAGUGUCAGGCGGGCAGUUUGACUGGGGCGGUCGCCUCCUAAAAGGUAACGGAGGCGCUCAAAGGUUCCCUCAGAAUGGUUGGAAAUCAUUCAUAGAGUGUAAAGGCAUAAGGGAGCUUGACUGCGAGACCUACAAGUCGAGCAGGGUCGAAAGACGGACUUAGUGAUCCGGUGGUUCCGCAUGGAAGGGCCAUCGCUCAACGGAUAAAAGCUACCCCGGGGAUAACAGGCUUAUCUCCCCCAAGAGUUCACAUCGACGGGGAGGUUUGGCACCUCGAUGUCGGCUCAUCGCAUCCUGGGGCUGUAGUCGGUCCCAAGGGUUGGGCUGUUCGCCCAUUAAAGCGGUACGCGAGCUGGGUUCAGAACGUCGUGAGACAGUUCGGUCCCUAUCCGUCGUGGGCGUAGGAAAUUUGAGAGGAGCUGUCCUUAGUACGAGAGGACCGGGAUGGACAUACCUCUGGUGUACCAGUUGUCGUGCCAACGGCAUAGCUGGGUAGCUAUGUAUGGACGGGAUAAGUGCUGAAAGCAUCUAAGCAUGAAGCCCCCCUCAAGAUGAGAUUUCCCAACUUCGGUUAUAAGAUCCCUCGAAGAUGACGAGGUUAAUAGGUUCGAGGUGGAAGCGUGGUGACACGUGGAGCUGACGAAUACUAAUCGAUCGAAGACUUAAUCAAUUUUUAAA